rnacentral:lncRNA from 1 species
GGGUCACACAUGCAGGUCGUGGGUCAUUCAUUCAUUUUAUUUGCAUUUAUUGAGCACCUAUUGUAUACAGAGCACUGUUCACAGUACACAGAAGUAAAUGCUGUGCUUUCGUCUUCAAGGAUGAAUAAUGGAACAAGAUAAAGGAGCCAUACUCUCAUGAAAGAGCACAAGAGCAAUUUCUUCCUAAUUGAUGAGUAUACACAGGAUGAGCAACAACUUUACAUAUGAGUGUUGAGGGAACCCAUGUAAGGAAGGAAUAAAUGUUUUCACUUUAUUUAUAUUUCACUUUCAUAAUUUAACUUAUAUUCUUUACAAUUAUAAUUUAUUUGUAUUCCACUUUUAAUUGUUUAAACAAAUAUUUAUGCCCACUAAUUGUCAAGUCUCCAGACUCUGGAUACCUAGUAGAAAGGUUUUCCAGGAUAUGUAAAAUACUAGAGAAAGAAAAUAAAUUGAUUGAACGUGGGGACAGAUGAAUAUAGACUACAUUCCUUCUAUGGAUGAGCCCCAUGGUGUGUCAUGUCAUAAAUACUAUAAACAUUUGUACAGUGAACCCAAACAACACGUAGAGGGCUCUGUUUUGCCAUGUAACUGUUGGCACAAUUAGUGAAGUACAAUAUGUAGUAAAGCUUAAUACGUAGUAAAAAUAAUUCUCCUGAAACUCAGAUGGGUGCAGGCGAUGGGGCAGUAUCUAGUUCAGUUCAGACACCUAGCUCUUGCUAAUCUAGCUUAACCUAGAUGCUUGACUGCAUGGAUUUUAAACAACUCCCAGUUCCUUUUCAGUGACAUUUUAAUAAAUAUUUAAUGACAGUGAACUUGGAAUUUGCAGUCUUUGGCAAGUGCUUGGGGUGCAGCUGCCAAUCUUUAUUGGUGGCUGAGUAAGAUCCGAGGCUCUCAACUUUCCAACUGUUUUUGUUUUGUUGUAACACAGCUCACCAAAGUUUAGUAGAGAACCCGUGAGACACUUACUACAUUGAUUCCCACUUCACAUCAGAAAAGGAACUUGCAAUAACCACAAAGGGUUUCUGUGCAGGCAAAUUUGGAGAGUCAAAUUUUGGACAGUGUGGUUGUCUAUUUAUGAACUUGAGAAUAACAUAGGAAUACCUACCCAAGUAAUAAUUUCAAUGUUCCAGGUUUUGAUCCUACAGCCCUUCUUUCUGUCCAUAAUUGGCUAGCAGGGUCUGUUGUAUAUACAAACCAUUCUUUGUCCAGGAAAACAAAGCCCUAUCAGCAGAGUAAAAAAAUAUAUAUCUUCUUACUCUUUCUUUCUUUCUUUCUUUCUUUCUUUCUUUCUUUCUUUCUUUCUUCCUUUCUUCCUUUCUUCCUUUCUUCCUUUCUUCCUUUCUUUCUUUCCUUUCUUUCCUUUCUUUCCUUUCUUUCCUUUCUUUCCUUUCUUUCCUUUUUUUUGUAGCAAGGGGCUAUGCAACCAGCCCAUCCAAAGAUAGUAUCAGAUUUUUUUUUUUUUUUAAUGAAUGGAAAAGUACUGGUGUCAGAAUUCAGCCUGGAUCAGCCCUCAGGAAAGCUGUCCCCCCCCACCCCACCCCCGUUCUGGCCCAUGAAGUAGAAUAGCAGCACUGAAUCAAUUCGUCCAUGUCCCAGACUGAGGAAAGGUCAAUAAAAGUUGCAUACAAUUUGAUAUUAUUCUUGCCACUGCAGGGCAGAAAUUAUGGCAGUGACCUGUGGUAGAAUUGCUUUUGAAAGCCCAUCUGUUCCUUAUGUCAGAUACUCAUCUGAGAAUCCUGGGUUUUCACAACUUGUUGAAGAGCUGGCAUAGAUUUGGGGUAGAACGAUCAAUAAAUAAACAGACUUUUAAUUUGUGGUAGAGGAGGCACAGGUUGUUCUUACUCAAGGAAGAUAAACUGGAUUCUGGGUCUAGCUCAACAGCUAAGUCCAAAGAAUAAAAAUAAAAAUAAAAAA